rnacentral:ncRNA from 1 species
GCAGUGUUAGCCGCACAAGAUUAAGCGAUAACAGGUCUGUGAUGCCCUUAGAUGUACGGGGCUGCACGCGUGCUAACACUGGUGGAGUCAGCGGGUUUUUCUAUGCCGAAAGGUAUCGGUAAACCGUUGAACUUUCUAUCUAAUUUUGUUGCUUUCCGAAUAAGGAAAAGCUUCAAAUCAUAACAUUCUUGAAUUAGAAUUGUCCC